rnacentral:rRNA from 1 species
UAGCUAAUACCGCAUAACGUCGCAAGACCAAAGAGGGGGACCUUCGGGCCUCUUGCCAUCGGAUGUGCCCAGAUGGGAUUAGCUAGUAGGUGGGGUAAAGGCUCACCUAGGCGACGAUCCCUAGCUGGUCUGAGAGGAUGACCAGCCACACUGGAACUGAGACACGGUCCAGACUCCUACGGGAGGCAGCAGUGGGGAAUAUUGCACAAUGGGCGCAAGCCUGAUGCAGCCAUGCCGCGUGUAUGAAGAAGGCCUUCGGGUUGUA